rnacentral:lncRNA from 1 species
CUUUGGAUUCUCUCUGAGUUGUUUGGUUUUCCUUUGUGUUCUUCAUUCUCUUCUCUGGAACUUCUGGUUUCAAAUUUUAAAUGUAAAAUUGUUGAGUCUUUGUGAUUCUUGUAGUAAAGGAAACUGUUGAUGUGUGUGUGGUGUCAUUUUGGUAUGUUGAAGUAGCUACUUUUCGUGUAUUGAGGGUUAGGGUUUGGCUCUUAUACUUGAACAGAUGGGUACAAUGAUUUGAGCCCUAGGUUUUUCCAGAUCCUUGAUGUAAAUGAUUGAUUCUGGG